AAGGUUAGCUAAUCCUGGUCGGACAUCAGGAGGUUAGUGCAAUGGCAUAAGCUAGCUUGACUGCGAGCGUGACGGCGCGAGCAGGUGCGAAAGCAGGUCAUAGUGAUCCGGUGGUUCUGAAUGGAAGGGCCAUCGCUCAACGGAUAAAAGGUACUCCGGGGAUAACAGGCUGAUACCGCCCAAGAGUUCAUAUCGACGGCGGUGUUUGGCACCUCGAUGUCGGCUCAUCACAUCCUGGGGCUGAAGUAGGUCCCAAGGGUAUGGCUGUUCGCCAUUUAAAGUGGUACGCGAGCUGGGUUUAGAACGUCGUGAGACAGUUCGGUCCCUAUCUGCCGUGGGCGCUGGAGAAUUGAGGGGGGCUGCUCCUAGUACGAGAGGACCGGAGUGGACGCAUCACUGGUGUUCGGGUUGUCAUGCCAAUGGCACUGCCCGGUAGCUAAAUGCGGAAGAGAUAAGUGCUGAAAGCAUCUAAGCACGAAACUUGCCCCGAGAUGAGUUCUCCCUGAGACUUUAAGUCUCCUGAAGGAACGUUGAAGACGACGACGUUGAUAGGCCGGGUGUGUAAGCGCAGCGAUGCGUUGAGCUAACCGGUACUAAUGAACCGUGAGGCUUAACCUUACAACGCCGAAG
rnacentral:rRNA from 1 species